CCUCUUGCAAUCUGCCGUCGCGCGCAUUAUAAUAGCGGCGUCCCUUCGGGGAAGACGACGCUGAUUGUAUCGUAUAAUAGAUCUUUUGGACCGGGGGGCGGAUCCCCGCAGCUCCACCAUUUUUCGCCGGAGGCGAAAGAGGGACUAGGAUUAGGACUAGGACUAGGUGAACCUUGUUGUCGCGCACAAGCGCUAUCACAAACUCCACCUAGUCCUAGUCCUAAUCCCAGUCCUUUCGGGGCUGAACUAGAUUCGACAGGGGUUGAAAGGCGGUGCUUGCGUUCCGGGGCGGUUCCCGUAAAAACCAUUAAAUGAAUGCUAAAAACAUUCCUGCGAACGACAAUGUUCGCCUUGCGAUGGCCGCCUAAAUUGGCUUGGUGCGAAGGGCGAUUGCUUGACGCAUCGUUAUGACCAUCACGGGGCCCGCCGGGGCCUGGCACCAGAACCCGGCACU
rnacentral:tmRNA from 1 species